AUUGAACGCUGGCGGAAUGCUUUACACAUGCAAGUCGAACGGCAGCACGGACUUCGGUCUGGUGGCGAGUGGCGAACGGGUGAGUAAUGUAUCGGAACGUGCCCAGUCGUGGGGGAUAACGUAGUGAAAAUUACGCUAAUACCGCAUACGAUCUAUGGAUGAAAGCGGGGGAUCGCAAGACCUCGCGCGAUUGGAGCGGCCGAUAUCAGAUUAGGUAGUUGGUGGGGUAAAGGCCCACCAAGCCAACGAUCUGGAGCUGGUCUGAGAGGACGACCGACCGCACUGGAACUGAGACACGGUCCAGACUCCUACGGGAGGCAGCGGUGGGGAAUUUUGGACAAUGGGCGAAAGCCUGAUCCAGCCAUUCCGCGUGCAGGAUGAAGGCCCUCGGGUUGUAAACUGCUUUUGUACAGAACGAAAAGGUUUCUACUAAUACUAGGAGCUCAUGACGGUACUGUAAGAAUAAGCACCGGCUAACUACGUGCCAGCCGCCGCCGUAA
rnacentral:rRNA from 1 species